UUAGGAGUUCUUUUUAGAGUCCGACCCUUUCAUUUUCUUACACUGUGCACACACUUCUUUUUUACACACACUUUUAACACCUUAGUAUAAGAAUGUAAUAGUCUCUUAAUUGAGCAUAAAUAAAAACAAAACUUUCAGCAACGGAUCUCUUGGCUCUCGCAUCGAUGAAGAACGCAGCGAAUUGCGAUAAGUAAUGUGAAUUGCAGAAUUCAGUGAAUCAUCGAAUCUUUGAACGCACCUUGCACUCUUUGGUAUUCCGAAGAGUAUGUCUGUUUGAGUGUCAUGAAACUCUCAACCCCCCUAUUUUGUAAUGAGAUGGGUGUGGGCUUGGAUUAUGGUUGUCUGUCGGCGUAAUUGCCGGCUCAACUGAAAUACACGAGCAACCCUAUUGAAAUAAACGGUUUGACUUGGCGUAAUAAUUAUUUCGCUAAGGACGUUUUCUUCAAAUAUAAGAGGUGCUUCUAAUUCGCUUCUAAUAGCAUUUAAGCUUUAGACCUCAAAUCAGUCAGGACUACCCGCUGAACUUAAGCAUAUCAAUAAGCGGAGGGAAAAGAAAAGGAGC
rnacentral:rRNA from 1 species